AGUGAACGCUGGCGGUAGGCCUAACACAUGCAAGUCGAACGGCAGCACAGGAGAGCUUGCUCUCUGGGUGGCGAGUGGCGGACGGGUGAGGAAUACAUCGGAAUCUAUUUUUUCGUGGGGGAUAACGUAGGGAAACUUACGCUAAUACCGCAUACGACCUACGGGUGAAAGCAGGGGACCUUCGGGCCUUGCGCGAUUGAAUGAGCCGAUGUCGGAUUAGCUAGUUGGCGGGGUAAAGGCCCACCAAGGCGACGAUCCGUAGCUGGUCUGAGAGGAUGAUCAGCCACACUGGAACUGAGACACGGUCCAGACUCCUACGGGAGGCAGCAGUGGGGAAUAUUGGACAAUGGGCGCAAGCCUGAUCCAGCCAUACCGCGUGGGUGAAGAAGGCCUUCGGGUUGUAAAGCCCUUUUGUUGGGAAAGAAAUCCAGCUGGCUAAUACCCGGUUGGGAUGACGGUACCCAAAGAAUAAGCACCGGCUAACUUCGUGCCAGCAGCAGCCGCGG
rnacentral:rRNA from 1 species